rnacentral:rRNA from 1 species
GCUGUCUACCAUGCCACCCUGAACAAGCCCGAUCCCAUCUGAUCUUGGAAGCUAAGCAGGGUCGGGCCUGGUUAGCACUUGCAUGGGAGACCACCUAGGAAGACAAAGUACUGUAGGCAUAA